GCGCCGCGGCCCUGAGCGGCAGAGACAGCAAUAGGCAGAAAUGAGUAAGAGCCGGAGCAGUGCACGGCGUAAUUCCUGCUCUGUGAUCAGACACUCCAAGUGAAAAAACCGGGAGAGGGGGCAGAGAGAGGCAGUGACCGGCUCAACCUUUGCAACCGGCUCAGGACAGAACGUCUAUAGAUAUUUAUAGAUACUAAAACAAAAACAACAACCUCACCCUGAAUAGAGCCUUUCUUAAAAAGAAGGUCCUGGCAAUUCUGUCUUAUUUAAGCAAUUUCCUGAGUCUAAGAAUAGAAAUGAGCUGCCUGGAAGGCACUGCAGGCUGAAAUUUGGAGACAUGGGCUGCUUUAUUUUAUUUUUCUAAAUAUAAAAACCUUUCGUUUGGAUACUGGAUUUUUAUGUGGGUCUUUGCAGCGGAGGGAUGUAUGGUUACUUUUAAUUCUACUUUUUUUUUCUCUCUCUUUUAAUUUAAAAAAAAAAAAAAAUCAUCCAGUUAAAAGCAAGGAAGCUGUUUUACCUGCCUUUGAGAAUCCCAGAGGACACCGAUCAAGAAACAGGGGAGUGACUUGGUCUUCUGCACUACUUUAUUCCUACCCCCAUUUUUUUUUAGGGGGAGAGAAGGAUUUUUUCCAGUCCAAGAACCUCUUGCCCCCAAGUUUUGGAAGGGGGUUGAAGACUUGUCACCCGUCUGGGGGUGCAUGAAGGGCAUUGCUUUUCUUUCCCUGUCACCUUGGUUUUGUGGAGGUUUGGAAGAGAACUUUGCCUGGGAGAAGAGGAUGAUGUGGAAGUGGCUGGGUGCCCUGCUGCUGUUCCCGGUGCAGAUGGUGUACCUGGUGGUGAAAGCUGCCGUGUGCCUGGUGCUGCCGCCCAAGCUGCGAGACCUGUCCCGGGAGAACGUGCUGGUCACCGGCGGGGGCCGAGGCAUCGGCCGCCACCUGGCCCGGGAAUUCGCCAGGAAAGGAGCCAGGAAGAUCAUCCUGUGGGGUCGGACUGAGAAAUGCCUGAAGGAGACCACGGAGGAGAUCAGGAUGAUGGGGACAGAGUGCCACUACUUCAUCUGUGAUGUGGGAAACCGGGAGGAAGUCUAUCGGCAAGCCAAGGCCGUGCGGGAAAAGGUGGGUGACAUCACCAUCCUGGUGAACAAUGCUGCUGUGGUCCAUGGGAAGAGCCUGAUGGACAGUGAUGAUGAUGCACUGCUCAAAUCCCAGCACAUAAACACCCUGGGACAGUUCUGGACCACGAAAGCAUUCCUGCCAAGGAUGCUGGAGCUGCAGAAUGGGCACAUUGUUUGCCUGAACUCUGUCCUGGCCUUGUCAGCCAUCCCUGGUGCCAUUGACUAUUGCACCUCCAAAGCCUCAUCCUUUGCUUUCAUGGAGAGCCUGACCCUGGGGCUGCUGGACUGUCCUGGAGUGAAUGCCACCACAGUCCUGCCCUUCCACACCAGCACAGAGAUGUUCCAGGGCAUGAGAAUCAGGUUCCCUAGUCUUUUUCCUCCUCUCAAGCCAGAGACAGUGGCAAGGAGGACAGUAGAAGCUGUUCAGAUGAAUCAAGCCUUCCUUCUCCUUCCAUGGACAAUGCAUGUUCUUGUUAUCCUAAAAAGCAUUCUCCCCCAGGCAGCACUUGAAGAAAUCCACAAGUUUUCUGGGAGCUACACCUGCAUGAACACUUUUAAAGGACGAACAUAGACCUGAUGGCACAAGGACUGUUCUGCAGUGAACUCAGCACAAGCAUGAAAAUCCUACAGGACUGUGAAUCAGCAAGUCUUGGCUUUCAGCCUGUUCAUGUGACUUGUGCUGCUCUGAGGCAACACAUUUCUUGCAGGUCAUAUCCAUAGUAACAUGACCUUUGCACAGGAUUGAGUGAGUGGACUAUGGACCCUUGGAAAGAAAAACAGAAAGUGUGAAAUGUUUCUAUGAUGUUUAAUUCUUUAGAGUUCAACUGUUAAAUCUACUCAUAGUUUUAAGAUGUGAUUUUUGUUUCUUAAGUGUCUGUGGGCUGUCUCAGUGGAGAGGCAGCACAUCCCAUCCCAAACACACUUUGUGCCCUCUCUCCAGAGGAACUGCCACUGGUUUCAUUUCAGCUUUUUGAAUGAGGAACUUCAAAAUUACUUUAAAGAACUAAAAGAUAUGGACAUUUAAUGGAUGCUUCCUUCUCUUUCUUCACUUUCCAUCCCAUGAUGAAGCUGUUCCCAGCACACACUGGGGAAGGAGCAAACCAUGAAGCAAUGUUUUCUUUGCUAAAGGCUACCCAGGACUUCUCUUUCUGGGCCCAAAAAAGCUGCUCUACUUCCCUUGUGGAGGCUGGACAGGAAGGCUCAGGCAGCAGAGCUGAGAGUUUAAAUAGUGGAAGAUUCUUUCUGUCACUGAACUCAUGUGUGAAAUAGUCGUUCUGAUUUUUUUUGUGUUCAUUUAUGAUAAAAUAUAAAUAGAUUUUUAGCUUUAAUCCCAGAUUGCCACACAUGUAGGCAGCAGCACAUUGGGGAUGAACUAAAUCUAGAACUAAAACUAGAGCCUGCUUGUACAAACACACAUUCACUGACAUAAUCCAUGCAGAGGAAAAUCCAUUGUAUCAAUCUGCACAGUGAAGUGGAAUAACGCUCUAAAGGACAGUACUCUCGUGCUCAUGAGGUGUGAAACCUAGGAGCACAUUUAGCAAAGACCUGAUGAAAUGCAUUUUGAAUUCAUCUGGCAAUAAACCCAUUGUGCUUUAGGGACAUUGAAUCAGGCACUGAUCAGCCAAAAGUGGUAAAUACACUUGGACUGAGGUGCCAGAAGCAGCUAGACAUUAUUUAUUUUUGUAAUGAUAUAUUCUCUUUGACAGCCUAGGAAGGGCAACACUGCAUUUCUGUGCAAAAUGCAGUGAGCAGCACAUUGGAGCACUACUAACAGAGGAAUUAAUAUAAUUGCAAUACAGGAAGUAGCAAGUCUAACUGGAGACACCUGAAUGAAGUGCCUCAAGGAUGGAUGUGUGAUUAAAGGAGCGAAUUUAGGGCUCCUGACUUGAAUUUCAAGCUUUUCCAUAGAUGUCCUGUGUGGCUUGGAGCAAAAUGCAUCAUCUGAAAGAGCACCCUGACCUGCAAAGCAGAUUUUUUUAGUGUUUCCCUACCUCAGAAUUGCAAGUCUGACUACCUAAAUGUCUGUCAAAAGCUCAGCAAAUUCAAAUGCAACGUGUUAUAGAAAGGAAAAGCAGUAUUUGUUAAUAGACCAAGAGGUUCUAUACAAAAAUUCAGAUGAGGAAAAAAACCCAUAUGCCAAAAUAUAUCAUCUCCUAGAAGACAUCUGAGGUACAGCAGAAAAGCUGUGAGCUGUGUUUAAAAUACUCCUUUGGUCCUGCCAUGUAGAAUGGAGACCUGCUGUGAGGUACAAAGGUGUGAAUGUUAAAAUCAGGUCUGACCUUACUGCAGACCACUGGAUUUCUCCCUUCUGGAGCUCUCCAAGAGGAAGAUGCUGCCAGAAGUGCCACUGUUGAAGUCCCUCUGCCUGGUUUUCCUUGGAAUUCCUGGAUGUCUGAGGCUCUCUGGAGAGGAUGGAAAAAACCUUCAAUCUCUGUGAUUUUGAGGCCUACUCUAAUAGAUGCUUCCAGCUUUAUUUUUUGUCACUUUUUUUGAGAAGCCCAUCUCACUGAAAAGUCAAGUGCCACGUGGGCAGAGCCCUUCCAGGAAUAUUCAGUGCCUGGAAUCCUGAAGGUAGCAGGUUUAUCAGGAGAGGUUUGGGAGAGGAAGGUAUGGUGAUGCCCACUUCCCCUUGUACCCUCUGAUCCAUUCCAGUUCUCAUUUACCCCAGCUGCAGGAGUAAAAACAACCAUGGUGAAAGAGCAGUGUCCCCUUGCAGUUAAACCUUUGUGCUGAGAUUCUGUUUAUUGGUAACUUCCUAAUGCAAAAGUGAGGUAAAAACACAGACUGGAAUCCCCGUUCAUCCCCAAAUCCUGUCCUUUAAAUAGAUCUGCUCUUUCCCUGCACCACUCAAAAGAUGUUCCCUUAUCUCCAGAGUUGCCUUACACACGAAGUGCUGUUGAUUUCUUUCUGAUGAAUAUAAACAAGUCAGAACAUAGCUGAGACUCAUCAUCUCUCUCCUCUCGUACACACACAGAGCUCCCUCUCUCUUCCCCCAGGGUCCUGCAGCGGACAGAGGGUCAAAUAGCAGUCACAGUGGGGGAGAGGGUUGCAGCAAACAGAAAAUAAUGAGGAAAACAUUGACUUUGCUGUUCAGAUAGCCAGGGAGAGUUGGGUAAGAGAGUUCCUUCUCUGGUGAGUGUUGCGAGACAGGACGGUCUCCAUCCAGCAAGCGACUGCAAACGUGGAUGGAGACACUGAAGACUUUUUUAUUUUAAUAGAAAGGCUCCUCUGGAAUGCCUGCUGAGGUCUGCUGGGACCUUCCCACAGAAGGGGAGUGUUGGGUAAUCUUGAAGCACUGCAAAUGUGGACAAGCUUUGUUGAAGCCUAAGGCCUUCUCCGAGGAAUUUCCGCCCUUUGACUUAUUUUAAUUUUGAUUUUCCCCGCUCUCUCUCCUGCCUCCUGCUCUCCACUGCACAGUUUUUUUCCCUUCUGUUUUCCUAUGUCAUCACUGCAGUUUUCUGUGCCACCAUCUUGAAGCCAGAUGUCACAGGAGAGCCUGGAGUAAAUCGAGAUCGGGGUAUCCAUUUCUAUAUGCUGGAGGAAUCCAGGUGAAGCUGCAGGAGCAGAUCACAGCAGUUUCAUGGGAAAUUAGUUUUACUUGCUCCGAAUUCUGAAGAAGUAAAAAGAGUCCUCGCUAUUGCUCUUAUACAGGAGAUUGCUGCUGGUUUAAAGUUUGAAUGAUAGAGAAACAUGGGCUGAUUUGGGACAUGCUCCCCUGACAAAAAAAGGCCAAAUUUAAAUAGGAGGAUUUUUCUGUUCAAGGUGGCUUCAAGGGCCGCUGUUUUUACAAAGUGAUUUUCAGAAUUAGCAAGGCAGGGCAGGGAGAGGAAGAAUCCCUCAUGUCUGAUACUUCAUUUUGUGGUUUUUGAUGAGGAAAAAAAGCACCCUCAUGGUGAAAAUGAAAAAGGUUGUUCCAGCCACGUCCCUGCCAAUGGCGUGAUUUAAGCAGCAUGACAAAAAAGAGCAGGCCCUGAAGGUGGGAGCUGUACCCUCCCCACUCACCCAUUGUUCUGUUGAGGUUAAAAAGCAAUAGAGUCUGUCCCUCAAGUUCUUCUAGAACUGCACAGAAAGUGCCUGGGUAAGUGAUUCUGAUGUUUGCAAAGAGAAACUUGUUGUACUUUUAUGUAAUGUGUUAAUUAGUGUGGGUGGGUAUGAUCAGAUCUUGUCUUGCAAGCCUUUCCGACAACUCCCUGAACACUCCCACCUUCAGAUAUUAACAGAUAGCACUUGCCAAAGCUCCUAAAAACCCAGUAACAGACUUAAUGCAGGCAGAGCAUAAGUGGGUGCGUGUAUUUCAAAGAGAACACAUCUGCUUGUAGCAGACAUUAAUGUGGCCUAGUGCCUUCCUCGAGCUGAAGUGCAACUGUUGAGAAAAGAAUACAGGGUGAUCCUUGGAUCAUUCCUUUUGAUUUUGUUUCUUCACGUGGCUUUAAUAAAUUUAUUUUAGGUGACAGCCACUUUGACAGCACUGGUUCCAAGGUUGGGGUAAAGCAAGAUUAUGUCAAAUGCAGUAUUUUGCAUUUUUACCAACCAGCAGCCCUGAGAAUGAAAAUAUUCGGCACUGUUUGCAGCUCUCACCUCCCCGGCACUAAGAUCCUGGUAUGUUUGGAGUCUGAGCAAACCUGUCAGUCACCAGCAGCAGUUGCAUUCUCUAGGGAACAGAAUCCUCUUUGACCUAAUGCUUUUCUGAAGGAGAUGUUGAGUAGUGGCAGCCACAGAUUCAGGGACUUAGAGAAAGACGAGAGGAAAAACAGAACUUCAGCUGCUCCCUGCAGCUCUCUCUCUUCUAUCCCGUGUUUCCUGUGGGAAGAUGGUGAUUCAGAUAUUUCUUGCCACCUUUACCACCCCUGUUCUACUGAGGUCACCUCAGCACCUUCCUUCAGUACCUUCAGGAAGCUGAAGCUUCAGCACAAACACCCCAAGGAGUUGGAUCAGCAGGUAAGGAGUGGGAGAGCAGACAGGGACAGGUGGAACACAGGGGGCACACCUGAUUGUGAGUCCCUGCCCCAUCCUUGCUUUCAACAUCACCCCCUCUUUUGUUCCUGUAACAGAUCCUGCCCAGAAACACACGCUGACCUGCCUGGCCUGCACUAAAGGCACAAACCUCUCAAUUUGGAUCUUCACACCUUCCCAACAAGUCCAAGCUUACUAGUUCUUCAUGCUCACCUCUGCAUUGUGACACUAGCACAGAAAAAAAAUUCAGGCAAAUCUGUGAUGAUUUUUUUUAAUGCAUCGUAUAAUGAUAUUUUUCUGCGUAAAACUAGAACAAUUCCUCCUUAAGUGAGGGAAGAAGGCACUGUAAUUAGAGUUGGAGAGUGACUGAAAAGUAUAUGAGAAUACAAAAUAGAAGAUAAGAUGCAAUCUUAGGGGGAGUGUGAUGGCCCUAAACAGACAGAGGCAAGAUGCCACCUUUCCAUCCCUGAAGUUAUAUAAUAACAGAGGCGUGUGAUUUCCAGCCAAACACAAAGUCUAUAAAAGAAGCCUGUUGUUGCUCCUGCUCAUUCCAGUGGGUCACCAUGCCCUAAAAAGCAGUCAAUUUUGUAGCUUGCUGGCUUGGAAACUCUAAAUAUGCUGGUAACUGAUGGCUGACUCUUGGUUUUAUUUUGAGGGAGGGAAAGCAGCCCAAACAUGUAAAAGCAAGGGUCAGUUUGACUCCCUACUCACUUUUUCCAGCUGCAAGAGCCAUCCAUCAUGUGUAGGUAUUACAAGGACAUACUUCUCUGGCUUGUGUCAGUAAUCAUCCUGACCUGGUGCUACUAGGUAGAUGUGGUUCCAUUUCCUAUUUUUUUCUUGAGCAAAAGCAUUUUUUAAAUAGAUUUUUUCUUUAUGUGAGUUAGUUGCCUCUGUAUUGUACAGGCUGUUCACAGCCAGGCAUCCUAGACAUGAAGUUUCCCUAUCAGUGUUAAUCAAACGAUAAUGAAAGGAAUACAGAAGUUCCUGUUGGAUAUCUUCCUUCCCCAAGCCCUGUGGAACUAAGGACAGGAACACUGUUGGAAGAGCAAUGCCUUAAAUCAAUCCAUCUCAGAAGCCUGCUGGCUUGUCUGUCUGACUUCCAAAAAUUGUCUUCCUUCCUGUCCCUGGGGCAUUUGGCACUGAGUUUGGUUUCCUGAGCAGGUCACUGUCACAGUGCACUUGUACAGUAAAGGCUGCACAUACAAACUCUGAACAGAUUUAAACUUCUGGUCCCACAGGACACUCCUGAGAAAUCCAGAUUACAGGAGGAGGUGUCAUCAGGUAACCAGUACAAACCCAAGCACUGGGGGAGGGCUCUGCUCACACCUCCCACCUCCUGCCUCAGAUCUGAGCCCUGACUGGACCCUUGGACCACCACGUGCAAACCCUGGCAGCAGCAGUCCAUGAACCUUCCUUAAUUCUUCUUAAUUCCUGAAUUUUUUAGCAUCAGAGACACUUUGGGGUGUGGCCAGCAGCUGCCCUUGGGCAUUGCUGUUGAUGUGAUCAGUGUUCCCAGAGCCUGGCACAUGGCAGCAGUAACUUCAGCCUAAGAUAAGGAGGCAAUUCCUUGCUGUCUUUUCCAGGAAAGUCAACUCUUAGUGCUUUAUGCAGAGAGGACUGAAGUAAGUGCAGGGUGACAGGGUUCCUGGGGUGUUUUGGCAACGUGAGUACUGCUGUUGUACAGAAUAAGAAAAAAGGACUCAUGUCAGAGGAAUGUUAACAGAAGAUAGAAAUGGCAAUAAUGGAAAACAAGUGAUAUCCAAACACAUAAUUCCUGUUCCCAGAACCUGCUGGGAGCACUGAUUCCCUGCAGACAUGGCACAGGGAAGUCAGUUCACUCCACAGUCUUACACCUCCUUCAAGUCUGCCUACUACAAGUAGCAGCAGAGGUGACAAGCUCAUGAUCUCUGCUCUCUCAACUGUUAAAUGUAGCAAAACAGGUGCUAAAAAAAAUAAAAUCCAUCCAUCAGAGAACAAAGCAAUUCUUUGGGUCAGUGUCAGCCUUAGAGAAUGGAGGAGGCUCUCAGGUACCAGAGAAAGGAGCCACAGCAGUUCCCACCUGAUUCCAGGAGGUCUUGGGCCUCAUCUCCCCUUGUUAAUGGUAAUUAAUGUGGAGGAUUAAUAAAUUGUCUCAAUUCAGCCAUGGGAUUAAACAGAAUCACAGACCAGCGUGGCUCUCUUCUUCCCAGCAAUAAAAUCCCUUGUGUUCUUUCCUGAACUCCCAUCAGAGCUGCAAAUUCAUGGAGAACACUUGUGGAGCCAAGCAAUAUUUUACUCCUGUUCCAAGGACUGUGCAAAAGACAGUGGAGAGAGACAUGAGCAAGCACUAUCACCUGUGCUUUGGUGGCUGAAUAGUCUGUAACUUUCAACAUUCUGAUAUUUUUGAUUAUUCAGUAGAAGCAAUCUGACAUGUUUCUCGACUGUCUGCUAUAGCCAAAAAACUUUCUUCAACCACCUCAACUAUUACAAUAUUUUUGAACCCUAAAACCACAUUCAGUUUCUCUGUUGUCCUUUUGUUUUAGCAGAGGUUUAAUAAGCACGUGAAUCAAAUGAUCAAAUGUAGCCUUGAAUUUCUUUAGAAGUGAUCUGAUGCUGAUGUAGAAAGAUAAUUUAAUAUUAAAAUAAUUUAAUAUUAAUUUAAUAUUAAAAAAAAUUUAAACCCAGUGUUGAUGUUGUGUAGCAAAAGUUUUUACAUAUGUUAAAAAGUAUGUAAGUCAUUUACAAACAACUCAGUUUAACUGUGCAAUAGAAUGCUCUGUUUCCAUCAUCCCAGGGAAACAGCAUUGAGCUCCUGACCUCAUUCUGUUUUACACAUGCAGAGUCUUCAUUCCAGUUUUAAAAAUAAAUUACAGGAUUGUAAGUUUUCUUAUGUAAAAACUACUGCUUGGCUUUGAAUUCAGGCAAGUACACACAGAUCUCACCCCACAUCAAUUAUGAAAAUAAUGUUAAUUCUCUCAAAUUCUGAAGCCCAGGAUUUAAGAGCAGUUACACUUUCUGGCUGGAGAUGUCACAUUUCCCGUGAUGCAACGUAGGAGGUAGAGUUACAAUCUUCAAUAUUUCCCUUUAAAAACCUCUUCCCAUUGCCUGAGCUGCCAGUGGCUGCUAAAGGCACCGAGCAGAGGAAGUUCUUUUCCAUCUUUCCCCUGACCCGAGUUCAUCUGAGAAGAGCUGCUUUUGAAUGAGCCACAGGAGCCAUGCUGAGUUUAUUUUCACUGGGUUUAUAUUAGGUCUGAUUUCUGCUGAUCCCUUCAUUUUUCAUCAUUUCAUCUGUCUCUUCCAGUUGUUCCCGUUGGAGAGGGCUGUGUUUGGAGAGUUCCUGAGCCAGAACGCUGUGCCUGCAGAUUGUUCAUCGCCCUCCCCUCAGGCAGUCCCUCACCUGUGCCUUUUGCACACCUUCUGAGACAUUAACUCUGCAAACUGCCCUAAAUAUCUUCAGAUUUGUUCCUUUGAAGCAUGAAGUGUAGCUAAACCCCAGAGAACUGUUACUUCUGUUCAUAACUGCACAUUCUGUUUAACACCUACACGAUCCGAAUUUGAACUGGGAAGGACUGGGAGGGAGUGGGUGGCCAGAACCUCACUUUAUGGUUAGAGGGGGAAUCAUAAGGUAAAAGUCAUCUGUUGAAAAAUAGAAACACGGUGCAAGCCCCAAUACCCAGCACUGCUCUUUGAUUUCUUCUGAUAAUUUACCAUACACAAACAGUAAAAUAGAUUAAUUUCAUGUUACUUCAGGGUCCUUUUGCAGUCUAAGGUACACAUCCUUUAAAGCUGGGUGAGCAACUUGAUUCCAGUGAUCUUUAUUACAGGCAGCAGCACUGCUUUACCUGGGCAAUUCCUGCAUAAAAAUCAGCCUGUUUUCUUUCAAUGGAUCAAUUUUACAUAAAAUUUUUUCAGAUUUUCAUUUAUCAAAUAUUUUAUGCACACGAUGGUUCUCGGCCAGCGAUUUCCUUGUGAGCUCUUCCCGCUUUGAGCGCUUGCCAUUCAUUAAUGUUCGGUUUUUCCUGUGGAACUGGCCAUCCCAAUCACAUGGUGGCUUUGCUUUCUCCUGGCUGGAUGCCUUCCAAUCCCACAGAAAGCUUUCUAGGGGCUCCAGGAUGUCUGGUGAUGACUGUGAGAUGGCUUCUGGCAGCAGUGUUAAUGCAAACGCAUAUUUGAGCGUGUUCUCAUGACAUAUUUCCAAUCCUGUGAUCAAAAAACGUGCCUAUGGACAUUUUCAAGGGAAAAAAAAACCAAUUUGGGAUACUGUCAAAAGUGCAUUUGCCUUUACUUACAGCAGAAAUUUUUCAGAGUUUGGUUUUGUUUCUUUCACUGGAUUCACCUCUCAACCUCAGAUCAUCAGGGGGAAAAUCGUGACACUGGAAAUGCUGCGAAGAGUUCAUUAAAAUAUGAGUGACCUCCCGACAUCAGGGCAUAUUUCCAUGAGGGGAAUGGCAUGAUGGUGUUUUGGGAUUUGUGUUGCUGCAUACUCACCCUUGGUUCAUUUAAGAAAAUAAAGUGGACUUAGAGCUGUGCUGCAGGUGAGGUUUGGGAAGUGAGGAAAUGCAGGGAAAGCGCUGCACAUUGCUUGACUCUCACCUGGGCCAGCUUGGCCCUGCCAGAGCACUUCCAUUUGUUACAGACACAGGAAGGGACACAGAAAAUGCUACAGUCUCACCUGGUGGCACACAAUGAGAUAAUUUAUGAUUGUACUGCUGGUACAGCCCAGGGGCUGCCAGAGUCCAGGUCAGAAAUCCCAACAAAAUACGGUAUUUGUUCAUGAUCUGUUGCUUAAUUAUUUCACUCUGUAUAGACAAACCCCAGUGGCAAAUCUCUAAUCGGAUUUUCACACUUGCCCUUGAGUUCUUGGAUUAGAUUGCUGCUUCCUCUUAAUGCCAUAAUUACAACAUUUCCAUGCCUUAAACCAAAACAAGGCUUGGAAACCAAAAUCCUGUGGCUGCUGCAGCCCAGGGAUGUUCUGGGGGAAGGGGGAAGGUAUCUGCCGUGCUGAAUUGGCCUAGAAAUCACACAGAGGCUCUGAGGGUUUAAUCACAGAGAUAUUUGCUCAGUGGCACUCACGAUGGGAUUUUUUCAUGGAACUUGGAGCAAACGUAGCCUUUGUUUGCAUUUUUCCACAGGAUUUAUUUACUGUUCAUUUGUGCUGCACAUGCUGUGAGAAAUUAAGCCAUUAUGUCCAUAUUUUUUUUCCUUUCUCCUGCUUUCAUUCCUUCCCCCCCACCCCACACCCCUUCAAAAUCCUUACAAUUCCUUUCACUGCUUGGUGUUAACAGGACAAAAGAAAUAAAUACUUGAAAGAAGAUACAAGCUGUGUUUCUGUUUGACUUUGGAGCUGCUGUGGUAACCGAAUACCAGUCUGCAAGGUCAGAAAAAGAAAGGAAGAAAUAAGAAAACUGCCCAAAAGCUCAGACCAUGGGGCUCAUUGGCUUUUGCCCAGCAAUUUCCAGCCACAUGCCCCGAGAGCUGAGCAGUCACUCUGUAAAUCUCUGAGUGUUUCAUAUAGUUUCCUUGUCAUGUGGCCAUUAAGUUUUAUAACCUUUAUAUUUCAAGGGAAACAAUGAACGUGAAUUCCUUCGAAACGCCCUAAUAGAUCCCACAUGUGAGCGAUCUUUCAUAUUUUGGUUGCUCUGUAGGUGCUGCACCCCGUGCCUGGGGAUGGUUGGUGUUGGCUCUGGGCCUCGGAGCCGCUCGGUGCUGUCCCCACGCCGGUGCUGAGGUCACUGUCCAGCCACAGCGGCCGCUGGCCCAGCCCAGGAACCCCGAGAGCACCGAAACCACCGGGGCUUGACUGCGAAACAAAGACAGACAGACAAGAAAGGCAAGAAAGAAAAAAAUUACAGAUAAGAAAGACAAGAAAGAAAGACAAGAAAGACAAGAAAGAAAGACAAGAA